rnacentral:rRNA from 1 species
AUAGGUGGCAAGCGUUGUCCGGAAUUAUUGGGCGUAAAGCGCGCGCAGGCGGUCCUUUAAGUCUGAUGUGAAAGCCCACGGCUCAACCGUGGAGGGUCAUUGGAAACUGGGGGACUUGAGUACAGAAGAGGAAAGCGGAAUUCCAAGUGUAGCGGUGAAAUGCGUAGAGAUUUGGAGGAACACCAGUGGCGAAGGCGGCUUUCUGGUCUGUAACUGACGCUGAGGCGCGAAAGCGUGGGGAGCAAACAGGGAUUAGAUACCCUGGUAGUCCACGCCGUAAACGAUGAGUGCUAAGUGUUAGGGGGUUUCCGCCCCCUUAGUGCUGCAGCUAACGCAUUAAGCACUCCGCCUGGGGAUACGGCCGCAAGGCUG